rnacentral:rRNA from 1 species
CAGCCGCCGCGGUAAUACGAGGGGGGCAAGCGUUGUUCGGAAUUAUUGGGCGUAAAGGGCGCGUAGGCGGUUUGACAAGUUUGGUGUGAAAUCUAUGGGCUCAACCCAUAGCCUGCAUCGAAAACUGUCGGGCUUGAGUAUGGGAGAGGUGAGUGGAAUUUCCGGUGUAGCGGUGAAAUGCGUAGAUAUCGGAAGGAACACCUGUGGCGAAAGCGGCUCACUGGACCAUUACUGACGCUGAGGCGCGAAAGCUAGGGGAGCAAACAUGAUUAGAUACCCCCGUAGUCCCUGUCUCUUAUAC